rnacentral:rRNA from 1 species
CCUACGGGUGGCAGCAGUGGGGAAUAUUGGACAAUGGGCGAAAGCCUGAUCCAGCCAUGCCGCGUGUGUGAAGAAGGCCUUCGGGUUGUAAAGCACUUUCAGUGGGGAAGAAAGCCUUGGGGCUAAUACCCUCGAGGAAGGACAUCACCCACAGAAGAAGCACCGGCUAACUCCGUGCCAGCAGCCGCGGUAAUACGGAGGGUGCGAGCGUUAAUCGGAAUUACUGGGCGUAAAGCGCGCGUAGGCGGUCUGAUAAGCCGGUUGUGAAAGCCCCGGGCUCAACCUGGGAACGGCAUCCGGAACUAUCAGGCUAGAGUGCAGGAGAGGAAGGUAGAAUUCCCGGUGUAGCGGUGAAAUGCGUAGAGAUCGGGAGGAAUACCAGUGGCGAAGGCGGCCUUCUGGACUGACACUGACGCUGAGGUGCGAAAGCGUGGGUAGCAAACAGGAUUAGAUACCCUAGUAGUC